UACGUAGGGAGUAAGCGUUGUUCGGAAUUACUGGGCGUAAAGGGUGUGUAGGCGGGAGCGCAAGUUGGGGGUGAAAUCUACGGGCUCAACUCGUAAACUGCCCUCAAAACUGCGUUUCUUGAGUAUGGGAGAGGAGUCUGGAAUUCCCAGUGUAGGGGUGAAAUCUGUAGAUAUUGGGAAGAACAUCAGUGGCGAAGGCGAGACUCUGGCCUAAUACUGACGCUGAGACACGAAAGCGUGGGGAGCAAACAGG
rnacentral:rRNA from 1 species